UACAGAGGUCUCAAGCGUUGUUCGGAUUCAUUGGGCGUAAAGAGCUCGUAGGCGGCUCAGUAAGUCGGGUGUGAAACCUCCAGGCUCAACCUGGAGACGCCACCUGAUACUGCUGUGGCUAGAGUCCGGUAGGGGAGCGUGGAAUUCCUGGUGUAGCGGUGAAAUGCGCAGAUAUCAGGAGGAACACCAGCGGCGAAGGCGGCGCUCUGGGCCGGAACUGACGCUGAGGAGCGAAAGCGUGGGUAGCAAACAGG
rnacentral:rRNA from 1 species